CGAACGCUGGCGGCGUGCUUAACACAUGCAAGUCGAACGCGAAAGGGACUUCGGUCCUGAGUAAAGUGGCGCACGGGUGAGUAACGCGUAGAUAACCUGUCUUCAUGGUCUGGAAUAAUACGCCGAAAGGGGUACUAAUACCGGAUAUUCUUGCUUUUCAUAAGUUAUGCAAGCAAAGGUGGCCUCUGCAUAUGCUACUGCAUGAAGAGGGGUCUGCGUACCAUUAGCUAGUAGGUGGGGUAAUGGCCUACCUAGGCGACGAUGGUUAGCGGGUCUGAGAGGAUGAUCCGCCACACUGGCACUGGAACACGGGCCAGACUCCUACGGGAGGCAGCAGUGAGGAAUAUUGCGCAAUGGGGGAAACCCUGACGCAGCGACGCCGCGUGAGUGAGGGAGGCCUUCGGGUCGUAAGGCUCUGUCAAGAGGAAAGAAGUGUACAAUGGCUAAUACCUGUUGUAUUUGACGGUACCUCUAAAGGAAGCACCGGCUAACUCCGUGCCAGCCGCCGC
rnacentral:rRNA from 1 species